rnacentral:rRNA from 1 species
AUUGAACGCUGGCGGCAGGCCUAACACAUGCAAGUCGAGCGAGCGGCGGACGGGUGCGUAAUGUCUGGGAAACUGCCUGAUGGAGGGGGAUAACUACUGGAAACGGUAGCUAAUACCGCAUACCAUCAGAUGUGCCCAGAGGGGAGUAACUAGUAGGUGGGGUAACGUAUCACCUAGGCGACGAUCCCUAGCUGGUCUGCGAGGAUGACCAGACACACUGGAACUGAGACACAGUCCAGACACCGACGGGAGGCAGCAGUGGGGAAUAUUGCACAAUGGGCGCAAGCCUGAGGCAGCCAUGCCGCGUGUGUGAAGAAGGCCUUCGGGUUGUAAAGCACUUGCAGCGGGGAGGCGUUACCCGCAGAAGAAGCACCGGCUAACUCCGUGCCAGCAGCCGCGGUAAUAC